rnacentral:misc_RNA from 1 species
GAAAUGCGAUAAGUAAUGUGAAUUGCAGAAUUCAGUGAAUCAUCGAAUCUUUGAACGCAACUUGCGCUCCUUGGUAUUCCUUGGAGCAUGCCUGUUUGAGUAUCAUGAAAUCUUCAAAGUAAAUCUUUUGUUAACUCAAUUGGUUUCUACUUUGGUAUUGGAGGUCUUUGCAGCUUCACACCUGCUCCUCUUUGUUCAUUAGCUGGAUCUCAGUGUUAUGCUUGGUUCCACUCGGCGUGAUAAGUUAUCUAUCGCUGAGGACACUGUAAAAGGUGGCAAAGGUAAAUGCAGAUGAACCGCUUCUAAUAGUCCAUUGACUUGGACAAUACUUUUAUGAUCUGAUCUCAAAUCAGGUAGGACUACCCGCUGAACUUAAGC